GACGAACGCUGGCGGCGUGCUUAACACAUGCAAGUCGAACGGAAAGGCUCCAGCUUGCUGGUGUGCUCGAGUUGCGAACGGGUGAGUAACACGUGGGUAAUCUGCCCUGUACUCUGGGAUAACUCUGGGAAACUGUGUCUAAUACUGGAUAUUACCUUUCUCUUCAUGGGGUUUGGUUGAAAGUUUGUCUUUGUAGGAUGAGCCCGCGGCCUAUCUUCUUGUUGGUGGGGUGAUGGAGUACAAAGGCGACGACGGGUAGCCAGCCUGAGAGGGUGACCGGCCACAGUGGGACAGAGAUAGGGGCAAGAGGGAUACGGGAGGAAGCAGUGGGAAAUAGUGCGAGAUGGGCGGAGGCAGGAUGGAGGGUCGCCGGGUGAGAGAGGACGGCCUUAAGGUUGUAAACAGCGUUAGGCAGGGAAGAAGAGUAAGUGACGGUACCUGAAGAGGAAGCAACGGCUAACUAUGUG
rnacentral:rRNA from 1 species